CACAAGCUGUUCACUGGUGCAACCAUGGCCGGCCCUGUAUCAACCAAUUUCAGUCCAAAAGGCGAUGCAUUUCACACGGUCAGACUGCUGUUUGAGAAGGAGGUUGCUCUCCCUUCCGUCUCUCAUCGCUCAUGUCGAGCUCGAGCCCGGAGGCCUCCGGCCACGCUCCGCCCUUGUCCUUCUGGCCGUCCAUGCGGGUAAGACGUGUUCCUAAGCUUCCAUGGAGCCAUAGGGGAGUCGAGGAUCUCGGCCGUCGUGUUCUCGGAGAACUACGGGUCCUCUGGCUGGUGCUUGGACGAGCUGGUGAGAAUCGUCGAGUGCAGGGAUACGAUGGGGCAGAUCUUGUGGCCGCUGUUCUGACAAGGUGGAUCCGUCGGGGAGUCGAGGAUCUCGGCCGUCGUGUUCUCAGGGAACUACGGGUCCUCUGGCUGGUGCUUGGACGCGCUGGUGAGAAUCGUCGAGUGCAGGGAUACGAUGGGGCAGAUCUUGUGGCCGCUGUUGGACAAGGUGGAUCCGUCGGAGGUGAGGAACCAGAGGGGCGGUAUGGACAAGCCCUAAUUGGUCACGACGAAAGGUUGAAGUCGAAGGGCGAUUCGGGGAAGGUGAAGAGGUGAGAGAGAAGCACUGACUAGAGCGGCAGACAACUCUUGCUGGCAUUUUGGUUUGACAAGUUGAAGUCGAAGGGUGAUUCGGGGAAGGUGAAGAGGUGAGAGAGAAGCACUGACAAAAGCGGCAGACAACUCUGGCUGGCAUUUUGGUUUGGCAAGUAAGACUCUCAUUUAUUCCUUUCCAAUUGUUGAUUAAGGAAUUUCAUUUACUUCCUCGGAAAUAAAAUCAGGGUAAUGUUUAUGCAUAAAAGGGGAAAAAAUCAAUUCACUCUAAUCGGAGCAGGAAAGCUUAUGUAUCGUUUCUUCACUCUAAAAGGGGAAUUUCAAAAGUCGUGCAUUGAGUAAAUAAACAUGCAGCUGGACCAUGUCCCUCGACAAGCCCCUUGAGCUUUGCAGGUUUAUUAAAAAGGAAGGUAAUGAUCUUUUUAUUGAUUAAACUUAAGGCUGACUGAGUAUUUAUCUGUUUAAUUAGGUAUCCAGAAAGUUGAUUUCCCUAUCUUCUCUUUUAGGUGCCGAUUGCUAGGAACUGAAUCUGGUUUAUAGUGCAUGAGAUAUUGACUGCGAGUUCAUCUCACUGGAGAGCAACUUAGUACUCCUUGUAUCAAUUGUAUUUGAAUCUCCUCGGGUAUUCUUCAUUGGCUUUAUGCAUGGAAUGUACCAGGCACGAGUCUUAUGUCAUUCAGAGCAUUGUCAAGAGAGCAAGGCCUGAGCUGAACAAUGAGCAGUUACAUGUUCCCAAAAACGUGGUUGACAUAAAUUUGCAUGUGUCCAAUUUGCAUACUUUGCUAGACAUGGAAUCAAAUGAGGUUUGCAUGGUUGGGAUUUGCAGAUUUGGAGAAAUAGGGAAGAUGACUUUCGCCAAAGCUACUUACAAUGCUUUUGCUCGCAAAUUUUACUGUUGCAGCUUUCUUUCCAAUGUUAGGGAAACUUGCGAGAAAUCCACAGAAGGUGGCCAACUUCAGCUUCAAGACAUUUUUUUCUCAGGUAAAAUGAGAUGAUAGUCUCAAGCUUGGCAAUCUCCCCAGAGGUAUGAACACGAUAAAGAGUAGACUUCGCCAAAAAAAGGUCCUCAUUGUCAUUGACAAUGUGAACCAGUUGAUCCAAUUCAAAACACUAGUUGGAGGACGUGAUUGGUUUGGUUGUGGAAGCAAAAAUCUCAUAAUGACUAGAGAUGAACAUUUACUGGCUUCUCAUCACAUAGAAAGCAUAUACAAGGUUCAAGUGUUACAUCAUUCUAUUGCUAGUAUGCUAUUGAGUUGGAUUGUUUUCAGGAAUCUUUCUCCUCCUUCAGAUUAUGAAGAGCUUUCAAAUAACGUAGUGGAUAACACCAAAGGACUUCCAUUAGCUAUUAAAGUUUUGGGUUCUUUUCUUUGUGGUAGAAGCUUACUUGAAUGGAUUAGUGCAUUAGAUAAUUUGAAUUGAGUUUUCAGUGGAGAAAUCUUCUGUGUGCUGAGAAUGAGCUUUGAUGGUCUAGAUGAUUAUGAGAAGGACAUAUUUCCUGACAUAGCAUGUUUCUUCAUGGAAGAGUGUAUAAGUUAUGCGAGAAAAAUUUGGGAGAGCUGUGAUCUCUACCUAGAUGGUGGAAUUGCUAUUCUUAUAGAUAAGUUGCUCAUCACUAUUAAGUAUGGCAAGCUGGAGAUGCAUGAUGUGAUUCAAGAAAUGGGAAGAGAAAUUGUUUAGAGGGAAUAUCCCAAAGAGCCAGGGGAGCGCGGCAUAUUGUGGUUCUAUGAGGAUGUGCUUCAUGUGCUAACAGAAGGCACAUUAGUAAACUGAAUCAUGGUCCUAUGUUUUUGACAAUAUAUAUAUAUGUUCGUUUGGUAGGGUUAAAGCCUCUUACGAAGAACUUUUGGCCUUUGUUAAAAAUAUGAAUGUGCACGGAAACAUGAUUUGGUAUCGAUGAUAGUUUGUGGUUUGUGUGUGUUGCGUAUAAUGUGUAUAUGAUGGACAAGGGACAAGAUAGGAUAGUUCAAGGGAUAAAAGCAAGUUUUUAUGGGAAUAGGAUAGUUUCACUAGUUUAUAAAAAUAGUUUUACAAUAGUUGAAGGAAGCGUUGGUGGAGGAGCUUCAUGAUAUGGAGUUUAUUCUCAUACUCCUCUCACACAUUUGCAUGAAUGAACUAUGGCCUUUUCAUAGGCCUUUCCACCAACUAAGUACAACUGCCUUAGAGGAUUCUGGACUUCUCAUGGAUGCUGUCCAUGUAGGCUUCAUCUUGCAGCCACCACCACAUCUCUGACUUAUUCAGAGAUUGUUUGCUUAUUACAUGUUGGACAUUUUCCAGCCACAAUCUUUAACUACCCAAAACUUCAUCUAGGGAAUUCUAGGUUGUAGUUUAGUAACUCUAGGAAAUUCUAGAAAAAUGGAUCACCAUUUCCAACAGCCUUCUACUAAAAAAUUAUGUGAAUAUAUUCUGCUAAGUAGGAAAAUGGCUUUGGUGGUCCAUAAUAGUUGCUUUUUCCAUAUCCAACCUUGAGAUGUAUGGUUUGUACUAUUGACCUCUCUCCAGAAAGUAAAUUAUAAAAAAAUCUGCAGGAACUUAAAUACUGUGGUAUUUUUUAUGAUUGAGGUCGUUUAUAAAACUCUUGUUUCAAAUGCUAAAGUUAAAGCAGAUUCUGAAAGCUAAGAACCAAAGGCACCACAAGCAUGGCAAAUCUUAUUUACUACUAGCAGAGUCCUUGCAUAACAUAGACACCUUUGCACUUAAAUCAUCUCCUCAUAUAUGUGCUGCCAGGGAACUAAUAAAGUGGAAGCAAUAAUGCUCAAGUUGGCUGCUCCUGAAGUACACUUCAGUGCUCAAGCCUUCACAAACAUGAAAAGGCUCAGAAUUUUCCAUAUACCAUUCGGGUGAUCCCAUGUACUUUCCUGUUGAGUUGAGAUGGCUGGAAUGGCCCAGUUACUCUCCACCAUCGGUGCCAUUCAAUACAGGCCACAGGAAACUUGUAGGUCUAAUCCUGAGUAAAAGCAGCAUCCGCAUACUGGGGAAAGAAUUCUAGGUACAUGCUUGCAAUAUGCUCUUCUUUUGCGAAUCUAGUCGAACUGAAAGAGUUGUUUUUGAGGGACUGUGCAGACCUUAAAAACCUUCCUUGUAGCAUUUAUACACUGCAGCAUCUUGAGCAUAUUUUUUUCUGAUAGAUGCUCACAACUUACUAAGUUCCCAGAAUUUGUGUGGGGAUCAAGUGAUUAUAUCAAUUUCUUUCUCCCAUUAGCCCUUCCGAGCGUAAUUUACUUGAUUAUGCAAAGAUGCAGCUUAUCAGAGCUUAGUUUUUUGAAAAAUCUUCAUCGCAGGUCAUUAUUGACACUUUUUUAGAUCUGUCGGAAAACAAUUUCGUUAGCCUUCCUACAUGCAUCAGUUAAUUUGCUAAGUUGCAGCAGCUUUUUUUGACACAGUGCUUGCAGCUUUGAGAGAUUCUAGCUCUCCCGCCAAACAUAACAUCUUUACUUGCGAAAGGUUGUGAAUCGCAGGAAACAUGUGUGGAUUUAUCACGCAUGUUAGGAUAUAAUCCAGACAAAUCACCUUGACUCAAACAAAUUGACUUCUCUAGCCAUCACAAGAUGAUCCAGGAUCAAUGCUCUCUCUCUCCCUCCCCCCGCCCCUCACGCACAUGUUUUUGUGUUUGUGUCGAGUGUAAAAUGGUGUAAACUGUACCAAUUAGCAGGGACUGCUUGGUGAGUCUUGGGUUGACAUUUUUUAUCCCAGAAGCAAGAUCCCAAAGCAGUUCAUCCAUCAAAGCAUGAGAGGACUAAUAAGGUUUCCUGUAUCUUCCGAGUUAUACUGUGAUAUAGCCAGCUUGGCCUUUUGUGCCAUUAUCGGUUCAGCUAAUUGAAAGAAAGUCAUUAUUUCAUGCGAGAUCCAGUUGUUUGUCAAUAAUCAAGAAGCUUAUGGUGGUGUAGAUUGUUUUUGCUCGUUACAGUUUGACCACAUAUGAUGGGGGGAUUGGGCUCUCAAUUGCUGAAUGAUAGCAGUCAUUCUACGGUACUGUUUCAAACAUAGGAAACUGCAGGGUGCAUCUGGCGUACGCACAAGGUAAGCAACUAAAUGAAACAAAGAUUGACAAAGCGUCGAUCCUCUGAAUUCGAACACGGACCUCGCAAGUUCCGAUGUCUGAAGCUCCGAAACAAAGGUAAGAUUUUCAGACAGUACACUAGGAUUUGAAAUUAGCUUUCUCGCAGUUUCAGUUAGGGGGUCAUGUUGAAACCCUUUUGAAUAGCUUUGAUUGCGUCUCCUCACAGCGGAAACAAACCUGCUGAUGUGCUUUUCUUUACCCUCAGAUUUAUGUGGUCUAAGUCAAUAUUCAGAAAUUUUCUUGUCGACACGUAUCACGACCAAGCCCAAGAAGAAGGGCUUUAAAUAAAGAAAUAUAAUUUCCCAAUAGGCACUAAUCUAUCUUUUGUUAGUCUUCGUCCAAUCACGUCACACGCAGAUUUGAAGAAACCAGAUACGAAGAAAAUGAAUUGAGACUGAGAGCAAAGUUAGCAGAUUUUAACAAAUUCCCCAAUUUACGGAAGGAACGUCUCCUCUAAUGGUAACUACAUCCUCCUCAGACCAUAACUCCCCCAGACUUCUACUAGUGAGAAGAGACUUUAGUAUGCUGUUGGUUGGAUGUUGGUGGCUUCCUGGGUAGGAUUCGAGCAAGAUCUGGUUGCGGCCACUUGACUUACUCCAAGGCAGGACUCCCGAACAACAAAACUCAAGGAUUGAGGGGAGUGGGGUGACAUUAUGAAGUAAUCGAACAGUAAUUUCAUAGAUGGGUUUCUAAGGUGUUGUGUCUAAGAGAAGUGGUUCUUCAUUUUGGGAAAAUGAUGUUUAGGUUUCUGUGAUUUGGGUGGAAAGUUGAAUGGGCGAUACGAAUUUCUAGGGUUUGUUUGGGCAUACUAUCACCAUUUCGAUAGGGGGUAGCUCACCGAGGUGAGAGAGAUUCUCCGAUGGUAUAGAGAGAUUCUACCCAUGGCUUGAUUCGAAGCAAAUUCUUCGGCGAACAGCCGAAUCGCACAGAACAAAGCCAAGUCGAACGUGGGUUUUGAAACGAUUCAAAGAAAAGCUCUCAAGAA